UGACGGGGGCCCGCACAAGCGGUGGAGCAUGUGGUUUAAUUCGAUGCAACGCGAAGAACCUUACCUACUCUUGACAUCCAGAGAACUUAGCAGAGAUGCUUUGGUGCCUUCGGGAACUCUGAGACAGGUGCUGCAUGGCUGUCGUCAGCUCGUGUUGUGAAAUGUUGGGUUAAGUCCCGCAACGAGCGCAACCCUUAUCCUUUGUUGCCAGCGAUUCGGUCGGGAACUCAAAGGAGACUGCCAGUGAUAAACUGGAGGAAGGUGGGGAUGACGUCAAGUCAUCAUGGCCCUUACGAGUAGGGCUACACACGUGCUACAAUGGCAUAUACAAAGAGAAGCGACCUCGCGAGAGCAAGCGGAC
rnacentral:rRNA from 1 species